GCUACACUAGCUCAGUUGGUAGAGCGCAACCUUGCCAAGGUUGAGGUCACGAGUUCGAACCUCGUGUGUCGCUCCA
rnacentral:tRNA from 4 species